rnacentral:rRNA from 1 species
AAAGAUUAAGCCAUGCAUGUCUAAGUAUAAGCAAUUAUGCAGCGAAACUGCGAAUGGCUCAUUAUAUAAGUUAUCGUUUAUUUGAUAGUACCUUACUACUUGGAUAACCGUGGUAAUUCUAGAGCUAAUACAUGCUAAAAAUCCCGACUUCGGAAGGGAUGUAUUUAUUAGAUUAAAAACCAAUGCCCUUCGGGGCUCACUGGUGAUUCAUGAUAACUCCUCGAAUCGCAUGGCCUUGUGCCGGCGAUGGUUCAUUCAAAUUUCUUCCCUAUCAACUUUCGAUGUUUGGGUAUUGGCCAAACAUGGUUG